rnacentral:rRNA from 1 species
AUCACACCUAGCGUAAACACUGCGAAUGCAUCUUCAAUGUUGGCUGGAUCUCGAAUGUCUUCAUCAAGAAGAUCAAUUGACAGGCCAUACUCUUGAUACUGUCUCCAUGCCCAUUCUGCCAAGCAGUACUCCAAGCCUCCAUCAUUUGCCACCCUCCCCGUUGUGAGCUCCAACAGAACCACUCCGAAGCUGUAG